GGGGUGACUGCGUACCUUUUGUAUAAUGGGUCAGCGACUUAUAUUCUGUAGCAAGGUUAACCGCAUAGGGGAGCCGAAGGGAAACCGAGUCUUAAUUGGGCGUUAAGUUGCAGGGUAUAGACCCGAAACCCGGUGAUCUAGCCAUGGGCAGGUUGAAGGUUGGGUAACACUAACUGGAGGACCGAACCGACUAAUGUUGAAAAAUUAGCGGAUGACCUGUGGCUGGGGGUGAAAGGCCAAUCAAACCGGGAGAUAGCUGGUUCUCCCCGAAAGCUAUUUAGGUAGCGCCUCGUGAAUUCAUCUCCGGGGGUAGAGCACUGUUUCGGCUAGGGGGCCAUCCCGGCUUACCAACCCGAUGCAAACUGCGAAUACCGGAGAAUGUUAUCACGGGAGACACACGGCGGGUGCUAACGUCCGUCGUGAAGAGGGAAACAACCCAGACCGCCAGCUAAGGUCCCAAAGUCAUGGUUAAGUGGGAAACGAUGUGGGAAGGCCCAGACAGCCAGGAUGUUGGCUUAGAAGCAGCCAUCAUUUAAAGAAAGCGUAAUAGCUCACUGGUCGAGUCGGCCUGCGCGGAAGAUGUAACGGGGCUAAACCAUGCACCGAAGCUGCGGCAGCGACACUUUAGUGUUGUUGGGUAGGGGAGCGUUCUGUAAGCCGUUGAAGGUGUGUCGUGAGGCAUGCUGGAGGUAUCAGAAGUGCGAAUGCUGACAUAAGUAACGAUAAAGCGGGUGAAAAGCCCGCUCGCCGGAAGACCAAGGGUUCCUGUCCAACGUUAAUCGGGGCAGGGUGAGUCGACCCCUAAGGCGAGGCCGAAAGGCGUAGUCGAUGGGAAACGGGUUAAUAUUCCCGUACUUGGUGUUACUGCGAAGGGGGGACGGAGAAGGCUAUGUUGGCCGGGCGACGGUAGUCCCGGUUUAAGCGUGUAGGCUGGUUUUCCAGGCAAAUCCGGAAAAUCAAGGCUGAGGCGUGAUGACGAGGCACCACGGUGCUGAAGCAACAAAUGCCCUGCUUCCAGGAAAAGCCUCUAAGCAUCAGGUAACAUCAAAUCGUACCCCAAACCGACACAGGUGGUCAGGUAGAGAAUACCAAGGCGCUUGAGAGAACUCGGGUGAAGGAACUAGGCAAAAUGGUGCCGUAACUUCGGGAGAAGGCACGCUGACACGUAGGUGAAGUGAUUUACUCAUGGAGCUGAAGUCAGUCGAAGAUACCAGCUGGCUGCAACUGUUUAUUAAAAACACAGCACUGUGCAAACACGAAAGUGGACGUAUACGGUGUGACGCCUGCCCGGUGCCGGAAGGUUAAUUGAUGGGGUCAGCGCAAGCGAAGCUCCUGAUCGAAGCCCCGGUAAACGGCGGCCGUAACUAUAACGGUCCUAAGGUAGCGAAAUUCCUUGUCGGGUAAGUUCCGACCUGCACGAAUGGCGUAAUGAUGGCCAGGCUGUCUCCACCCGAGACUCAGUGAAAUUGAACUCGCUGUGAAGAUGCAGUGUACCCGCGGCAAGACGGAAAGACCCCGUGAACCUUUACUAUAGCUUGACACUGAACAUUGAGCCUUGAUGUGUAGGAUAGGUGGGAGGCUUUGAAGCGUGGACGCCAGUCUGCGUGGAGCCGACCUUGAAAUACCACCCUUUAAUGUUUGAUGUUCUAACGUGGACCCGUAAUCCGGGUUGCGGACAGUGUCUGGUGGGUAGUUUGACUGGGGCGGUCUCCUCCUAAAGAGUAACGGAGGAGCACGAAGGUUGGCUAAUCCUGGUCGGACAUCAGGAGGUUAGUGCAAUGGCAUAAGCCAGCUUGACUGCGAGCGUGACGGCGCGAGCAGGUGCGAAAGCAGGUCAUAGUGAUCCGGUGGUUCUGAAUGGAAGGGCCAUCGCUCAACGGAUAAAAGGUACUCCGGGGAUAACAGGCUGAUACCGCCCAAGAGUUCAUAUCGACGGCGGUGUUUGGCACCUCGAUGUCGGCUCAUCACAUCCUGGGGCUGAAGUAGGUCCCAAGGGUAUGGCUGUUCGCCAUUUAAAGUGGUACGCGAGCUGGGUUUAGAACGUCGUGAGACAGUUCGGUCCCUAUCUGCCGUGGGCGCUGGAAGACUGAGGGGGGCUGCUCCUAGUACGAGAGGACCGGAGUGGACGCAUCACUGGUGUUCGGGUUGUCAUGCCAAUGGCACUGCCCGGUAGCUAAAUGCGGAAAAGAUAAGUGCUGAAAGCAUCUAAGCACGAAACUUGCCCCGAGAUGAGUCUUCCCUGAGACUUUGAGUCUCCUGAAGGAACGUUAAAGACGAUGACGUUGAUAGGCCGGGUGUGUAAGCGCAGCGAUGCGUUGAGCUAACCGGUACUAAUGAACCGUGAGGCUUAACCUUACAACGCCGAAGCUGUU
rnacentral:rRNA from 1 species